ensembl:lincRNA
AUGUAUGGGAGCUGGGUAUUAUCACCUGUCUACCCAACAGGCCUCCGCUUCCCCCAGAACAGAAAUGGGUUUGCAGGGCUGGAGAUCCUAAUGAACAGAAACCUUGUAUACACAGCCGAAGCCCUGGGAAUUCCUUGCUGCAGCAUGCUUGGAGGCCACUGGUGCCGCUCAUGUGGCAGUGGUGAUAGAACGCCACACAAUAAGAAUCCUCCCCAUUGGAUCAGAUGUGGUUCAGUCCUCACUGGUAAACACCUACAUACAGCCCUCAGGUUCUUGCUCUAAAAUUCAUCAUCAACUCUUGAAUGAAGCACCAA